UGUGUAGGCGGGUCUUUAAGUCAGUGGUGAAAUCUCCGAGCUCAACUUGGAAACUGCCAUUGAUACUAUUGAUCUUGAAUUCUGUUGAGGUGGGCGGAAUAAGUCAUGUAGCGGUGAAAUGCAUAGAUAUGACUUAGAACACCAAUUGCGAAGGCAGCUCACUAAACAGAUAUUGACGCUGAGGCACGAAAGCGUGGGGAUCAAACAGGAUUAGAUACCCUGGUAGUCCACGCCCUAAACGAUGAUUACUCGACAUACGCGAUACACAGUGUGUGUCUGAGCGAAAGCAUUAAGUAAUCCACCUGGGAAGUACGACCGCAAGGUUGAA
rnacentral:rRNA from 1 species